rnacentral:lncRNA from 1 species
AGUUAGUCGAUCCUGGAUGAAGUACAAUUCUUGGAUUUUGAGAAUUCACUUCCUUACAGGCGGCGCACGGGGCUGCGGCGGCCGGCGGGGACAAUCGUCGGAGAUUAGGGCGAUGUCGGCAGAGAGAGCGAGGAGGCAAAGUAGUCUUGGGCCUCCUCUCAACUCGAGAGAAAGAAAGAGAGAGAUAGAGAGAGGGAAGGUGGUAAUGGCUGCGGCUGCGACUGUGGCUGCUGUUGGCUGGCCGAGGCUAGGUCCGCCGUGGCCGGCGCGUGCACGACGAGGGCAGGUGAGGAAGAUGGAGGUGGCUGGGGUUAGUAGGGGG